AGUCGUAACAUAUUAACAAUUUGGGGGCAUUUAAAUCCAAUAGAUAGUAAAUUCAGUUCAAAUAAAUCUUCUUUCUGCACGUGUAUUGCACACAAUAUUAAAAAAUUAAAAAAAUAAAUAAAAAUAUAUAAUUUAUACUCUUUUUUAUUUAAUAAAAGAAAAACUCUUAUUUUUCUCUUAACUAAAUCUAAAAUAAAUUCCACCUCCUCCACCAUAUAUCUACCUCCUCCACCACCAGCGAUUGAGCAAUACCAACUUCUCCAGUCCCUUAUACCACUACAGAUUGAUCCAAUUCACCACCACCACCAAGCUAAUCCAUUGCUAACCCAAUGCCUCUCCACCGCAUGUUAAACAAAAAGCAAGGUUGUUGUUGAUAUUGUUGUUAUGGCUAGACAUUGUUGAUGGUGAUGGCGUUGAUGGAGAGCUGAGGUGAUGGGUUUGUUAAUAGUAGUGGCGUAGGUUUAUCGCUAGUAGUGGUAGUGAAUUUGUUAUUGAAGGUGGUUGUGUGGCAAUGGGUUAGUGGUGGCUGUAGGCGGCAGCGGCGGCGAUGGAUUUGAAAAAUGAUAUAAAAAAUUAAUUUUUUAAUUAAUGAUUAAGGAGAAUGAUUGGGUUUGUUUGUGUGAGAGAGAAUGGAUUUGUGCGCUAUCAUUAUUAAUGCAAGUAAGACGUUCAAUAAAAUGUCUCAAUUGUUUUGGUUCCAUUACUAAUGCAAGUAAGGCGUAAUGUCUCAAUUAUUUUGAUUGUUGUUGUUAAUGGUGAUGGUUUACUUUGUUGUUGUCGCGGGUUGUUGUUACCGAUGUUGCUUUUACAGGCGAUGGUAUAAGUGGCAGUGAUGUAAUUAAUGGUUGUUAUUAACGUUGAUUUUUGUUAGUGUUGGCUA